ensembl:snoRNA
UUGCACAUUCAAGUCCUUCUAUGGCUUGAGUGAAUAACACAGGGGGGCAGAAGAAUUCUCUCAAAAACCUGAAGUGCUGGCUUUGAUAUUCCAUGCUUCGGAUCCUGUCGGGAGAAACAACU